rnacentral:rRNA from 1 species
GGACCAAGGAGUCUAGCAUGUGCGCGAGUUACUGGGACUCGAUAAACCUAAGGGCGCAAUGAAAGUAAAGGCACGCCUUGCGCGUGCCUAGGGAGGAUGGGUUGUUGUCAUGACACGGCCCCGCACUCCCGGGGCGUCUCGCACUCAUUGCGAGUUGAGGCGCACCCAGAGCGUACACGCUGGGACCC